rnacentral:rRNA from 1 species
UACGGGGGGAGCAAGCGUUGUUCGGAUUUACUGGGCGUAAAGGGCGCGUAGGCGGUCAGCACAAGUCAGAUGUGAAAUCUCCGGGCUUAACUCGGAAAGGUCAACUGAUACUGUGCGACUAGAGUGCAGAAGGGGCAACUGGAAUUCUCGGUGUAGCGGUGAAAUGCGUAGAUAUCGAGAGGAACACCUGCGGCGAAGGCGGGUUGCUGGGCUGACACUGACGCUGAGGCGCGAAAGCCAGGGGAGCGAACGGG